GAGGGACUCAAGAUGGCGGACCGCGCCGGCUCGGUGAAUCGUGGUAUCAUCAAGCAGAAAUUGGGUGCACAGACUAGACCAGGUUUGGGGGUUCAGCACUAUAGUUCUGAGCCUUCAGCUAGAAUUUCCGUGAAGGGUUAGUUCUAAGACCAAAGUGGCUAAUUCGGCAUAGCAGAUGCGGUGCGGCAUGUAAACUGGACUCUGCCACUUAAAACUGUGGCAAAAAAUGUGGCACAGAGGACUUCAACACAGACUUCUUGACCAAAUGAUUGCAUGCUCUGGGAGUUCAGAGGACGAAGGCAAGAAGCUUGGCUUGAACUGUUUGAUGCUAAUAUAAUUUAUUUCUGAGGCAAGUUGAAAAAUGAGGUAAGAACUCAUGUUGGCUAUGGGAACACUUAGCAUUACUGUGGCAAAUUUAAAGGCAGAGGCUGUUUUAUUCUUUUUCUUUUUUGGCCACCCCAUAGCACAUGGCAAUCCCAGGUUUGUGAUCUAAUCCAAGCCAUAGUUGAGACCUAAGCCGCACCUGUGGUAACGCCAGAUCCUUAACUCACUGUGCUGGGCAGGGGAUCAAACCUGUGUCCCAGAGCUCCUAAGAUGCCUGCAGAUCCUGUUGUGCCAUAGUGGGAACUCCAGCUGUUUUCUUCUUGUAUUUAUGGUUCUUCAGGUUCACAGGGUAAAGCAGGACUUGAUCAGUUGCUUACUACUUUUAAAGGAGUUUUACUAUCGUAGACGAAAGCCAGGUCUGCCUGUCCUUAAAUGCACUGGAGUCUGAGUCAGUGGCUCCAUGAGUGACAGCUUUCAUGCACCGGUGAGAUCACUGAGGGAGGACACAUGUAUUUCAAACACCUACUCAUGCCCCUCAGGGGAGAAAUCAUUUUAAAGAAAACUUGAAAAGUAAUUCUGAUACUGUUGGCAAAACUGAAUUGUUUUUAUGCCCUGAAAGUAUUUUUAUUAUAAAACUCAAACUCAAACUAAGAGAUUUAGAAGUACAGAGAAUAUAGAAAAGGAAAUAGAAAUUCUGGUUUCCCAAUUUAGUUUCACAAUCCUAUACCCCAUAAGUUGUCAUUGUUAACAAUUUCUUGUUAAUUUUUCCUUCCAGAAAUGCUUCUCCCUAUACAACUACAUAUACAAAGUAUUUAUUAUAUAUUUUCACAUGUAAGAUCAUCCUAUACACAGUUUUGUGUUUUUUCAUUUUUCACUUAAAAUUAGGUUAGGACAUUUAGAUCUCUAUCUUCAUUUUAGUGCCUGUAUAGCAUUACAUACAUAGAUGCACCUUUAUUUUACCUACAAAUGAGUAUUUACAUCAUUUCCUUUCUUUUUUCUUGCUAUUAGAAAUAGCACGGUAAUGAACAUCUUUCAACAUAUUUUUUUUCCAAACUUAAGCACAUGUGUCCAAGCAGGAAUCCUAACACUGUUUUGAAUAAUAUUCUUCAGUUGAAUUAGAUGUCCAAAUACUCAAUUCUGACAACACAUAGGUUAAUUUAAGAAAGGGUUGGUGUGGUAUUGACACAAUAUGUUCUAUUGAAUUAGGCAAUGUUCUUGUAAUCUAUUGCUACAUAAAAAACUACCCCAAAACUUAGUGGCUUAAAACAAAAACACUCAUUUAAUUAGCUCAAAAAUCUGUAACUUGUUCAGGGCUGAACAGGGAAGGCUUGAGUCUGCUCCAUGCAGCAUCACGUGGGUGUGGCUUGACCAAGGACUAGAAGAGCCAUUUCCAUGAGGGCUCACUCAGCUGGUUAGUAUUAGCUGUUUACUCUGCAUAGGUCUCUCCAUGUGACCUGGGCUUCCUUGAGGCACAAUGCUUGGAUUCCAAGGACAGAAUACUGAGAAUUAGAGCUAGACAGGAGCGGUAUUGCCUUUUACAGCCUAGCCUCAGAAGUUACAUUAGUGUCCCAUCUGCUGUACUGUAUAUUCAUUGAGGAAGUCACAAAGGUCCCUCUAGUUUAAGAGGAGGGACAUAAACUCCAUCUUUUGAUGGGAAUAUGGUAAGAUUCUUUAAAAAAGGCAUGUAGGAUGUGAAAUAUUAUUGCAAUCACUGCUGGGAAAUAUAAUCUGCUAUAAUAAAAAAAAUACCUUCUUUAACUUCAGGUAGAUAGUUCACAAUAUAAUGGUAUUGUUGAUUUUUGAAUGGACAAGAUCCAAAUUUUAUUGUCUUUCUUUUGAUCUGAUUGUGAAUUUUUUUUUACUAGAACAAUAAAUUUGGACAUGUAAUACUCAUGGUAGUCCCAAUUAUGAUGAAAAGCUGUUGCAGUUGCAUGAUCACCCACAUUUUUUUAAUGGAUGAAAAACAAGAGUUCCCAUUGUGGCUCAGCAGGUUAAGAACAUGACAGAGUUUGGGUUCAAUGAGGGUUUGAUCCCUGGCCUUGCUCAGUGCCUUAAGAAUCUGGAGUUGUUGCAGACGUGGCCUGGAUCUGGCAUUGCUGUGGCUGUGGUGUAGGUCAGCAGAUGCAGCUCUGAUUCUACCCCUAGCCUGAGAACUUCCAUAUGCUGUAGGUACAGCUGUUAAAAAAAAAGAAAGAAAGAAAAAAAUGGAUGAGAAACUAUUAAUUUAGUUUUUCCUUUUAUCUUCUAUUUAGCAUAGUAUCCAGUUAUUAUCAGUUAUUCUUCUUGCUAUUAUUCUACAUAAGACAUUGCAUAUUCACUUUACUGAUGAGGAAAUCUAGAAUUGGAAAGGUUAUACAACUUUGCUAAAAUCACAUUAGUGGUACAGCUUGGAUUUGUACCUGGAUCUCUGCUCUAAGCCUAGGUUCUUUAUGUUUAUUAAAUUCUUUAAAGCUUUGGAUCAAGAAUUACACCUUGGGAGUUCCUGUUGUGGCUCAGCAGAAACGAAUCUGACUAGCAUCCAUGAGGAUGCAGGUUCGAGGGUUGCUCAGUGGGUUGAGGAUCCAGCGUUACCAUGAGCUGUGGUGUGGGUCACAGACACAGCUCAGAUUCCGCAUUGCUGUGGCUGUGGUGUAGGCUAGCAACUACAGCUCCAAUUCGACCUGUAGCCUGGGAACCUCCUUAUACUGUGGGUGCGGCCCUAAAAGACCAAAAAAAAAAAAAAAAAAAAAAAA
rnacentral:lncRNA from 1 species